rnacentral:tRNA from 1 species
GGUAAAAUGGCUGAGAGUAAGCGGUAAGCUGUAAACUUAUUAACGAAUUGUUUUUCUUUUACC